rnacentral:rRNA from 1 species
GAUGAACGCUGGCGGCGUGCCUAAUACAUGCAAGUCGAGCGAACAGACGAGGAUCUUACUCCUCUGACGUUAUCGGCUGACGUGUGUGUAACACGUGUAUAACCUACCUAUAUUACUUGGAUAACUUCGGGAAACCGGAGCUAAUACCGGAUAACCUUUUGAACCGCAUGGUUCAACAGUUAAUGACGGUCUUUCUGUCUCUUAUCGAUUGAUCCGCGUGGCAUUAGCUAGUUGGUAAGGUAACGGCUUACCAAGGCAACGAUGCGUAGCCGACCUGAGAGGGAGAUCGGAGAAACUGGAACUGAGACACGGUCCAGACUCCUACGGGAGGAAGCAGUAGGGAAGAUUCCGCAAUGGGGGAAAGGAUGACGGAGCAAAGCCGAGUGAGUGAAGAAGGUCUUCGGAUCGUAAAACUCUGUUAUGAGGGAAGAAAAAAGGUGUAAGUAAAUAUGAACGUAUUGACGGUAACAAAAAAGAAAGCAACGGCUAACUACGUG